UGAACGCUAGCGGCAGGCCUAACACAUGCAAGUCGAGGGGUAACAGGGAGCUUGCUCCGCUGACGACCGGCGCACGGGUGCGUAACGCGUAUACAAUCUACCUUUUGCUGCGGGAUAGCCUUUGGAAACGAAGAUUAAUACCGCAUAGUAUGUAAGAUUCGCAUGGAUUUUAUAUUAAAGGUUACGGCAGAAGAUGAGUAUGCGUCCUAUUAGCUAGAUGGUGUGGUAACGGCAUACCAUGGCUACGAUAGGUAGGGGCCCUGAGAGGGGGAUCCCCCACACUGGUACUGAGACACGGACCAGACUCCUACGGGAGGCAGCAGUGAGGAAUAUUGGACAAUGGAGGCAACUCUGAUCCAGCCAUGCCGCGUGCAGGAAGACUGCCCUAUGGGUUGUAAACUGCUUUUAUACGGGAAGAAACCCUGCUACGAGUAGCAGCUUGACGGUACCGUAAGAAUAAGGAUCGGCUAACUCC
rnacentral:rRNA from 1 species